rnacentral:rRNA from 1 species
AUUGAACGCUAGCGGGAUGCCUUACACAUGCAAGUCGAACGGAGUGGCGAACGGGUGAGUAAUGUAUCGGAACGUGCCCAGUAGCGGGGGAUAACUACGCGAAAGCGUAGCUAAUACCGCAUACUAUUGGAGCGGCCGAUGUCGGAUUAGCUAGGGGGGGGGGAAACGGCCCACCAAGGCGACGAUCCGUCGCUGGUUUGAGAGGACGACCAGCCACACUGGGACUGAGACACGGCCCAGACUCCUACGGGAGGCAGCAGGGGGGAAUUUUGGAAAAUGGGGGAAAGCCUGACCCAGCCAUCCCGCGUGUGUGAUGAAGGCCUUCGGGUUGUAAAGCACUUUUGGCAGGAAAGCGGUACCUGCAGAAUAAGCACCGGCUAACUACGUGCCAGCAGCCGCGGUAAUUC